rnacentral:rRNA from 1 species
GACGUAGGGGGCAAGCGUUGUCCGGAAUCAUUGGGCGUAAAGCGCUCGUAGGUGGAUCGGUAAGUCUGCAAAGAAAGACCCGGGCUCAACUCGGGGAACGGUGUGGAUACUACCGAUCUUGAGGCAAUCAGAGGAUGAUGGAAUUCCCGGUGUAGCGGUGAAAUGCGUAGAUAUCGGGGAGGAACACCAACGGCGAAAGCACUCUGCUGGGCCGACACUGACACUGAGAGACGAAAGCUAGGGGAGCGAAUGGG